rnacentral:lncRNA from 1 species
UUAAAGUAUAGAUAUGUCUCUGCUAUCAGCUGUGGUUCUAUAAUAGCUGGCAAUACGUCUGCUGUAUCAGGGGCUGCCUGCCAAUAAUAAGCAGAAAUACAUGUGAUUUUAUGCUUCAAUAGCGUGUAAUCCUUAAAACUAUUCUGUUAUCUCUGAGUAAUAGCUCACCAUUGCUAUGUGUUAAAUUACUGCCUUUACUACAGACACUGCGCUUUAAUUGCUUCCAAAGGAUGGUUGCCGCUGUUCUAUCAAAAAACCCUACCCCGUGAAAAUUCCCUACCCUCGUCACUUCCGGUGACGUGGCCGCACCGGAAGUGACUAGGAAAAGCUCUAGGACGGGGGGGAGCGCCGCCACGCAAGCGCACAACUACUAGGUAGGGAAAUUUCACAUUGAGCAGGGGAAAAUAACGGCACAGUGCGCACGCGCGGCACAGUACUCCCAUCGGAGUACCCCAGCCAGAGGGACUGCCCCACAUCUGCAACCAAAUCCGUCGGUCACCGAAUUCAGUAAUCUCUGUCUCUUUGUCCAUUCUGUAUGUAUGGUACUCCCAAUUCUUUUAUUUAAUCCGGUGUGUCUCCCACAAUCUUUGUGUCUGUCUGCUGUAUGUAUGUGGCACGCAAGUCUGCAUGCACUGUGUCUGUUAUGCCAUUUACUCUAACCAGUUUUUCUUUAGUUUUUUUGUGUGUGUCACAACUCUGACAAGCAUGUUCUCCUACGGGACACAAAGUACAUGAAGAGGAAUGAAGAAGCCCAUGUUUGAUACUCGUCUCCAGGGUGGAGUAUUGAAUUUAUAAGUACUGAAGUGGCAUCUGGCACGUGACAAGCUGCUCCUGUUUGCACAGCGACUUCAACAUUGUGUACUGUGAUCACGGCUUAGUUCAGAGGUAGGUAACCUUGGGCAGUCCAGUUGCUGUGAAUUACACCUCCCAUAAUGCUGCAAAGCAUUAUGGAAGGUGUAAUCCAAAACAUCUGGAAUACCGAAUGCGUAUGAAUGAAAAGUAUGGUGUGUGUGAAUGGUCAGUAACAAGGGUUGAAGCCUUGACGUGACGUUACUGCUCACAUGUGUAUCCAUGUGCCAAUUCAACCAAUGUGAGUGACUGUAAUACUUAUGAGGUAACCAUAAAUACCGUGACUAUGGAGAAUUAAAUGCCUGUAUCACCUAAACACUGCUUAUACUGUGACCGUAUCUCCUAAACACUGCGGCCGCACAGGGCGCCAUGGAGCAGGGGGCGCCGUGCGGCUGACACAGCUCACACAUGGCUGGCCGGCAUCUAAAAAAGAAAAUUUGCGGCGGGGGCAGAGCUAAAGGUGCCAGAUAACUGCUGCAGGGGAAGCAGGAAGGAGUGGGGGGGGCGCUGUGAUGAUUUUUGGCACAUGGCGCCUAAAGGCCUAAGGCCGGCCCUGCUCUGUUGCAUUAGACCCAAUUCUGAGAUUAUGACCGAACCCUAAAGCACUUAAAAUGUUUAUGAUAUUUUAUUUAUGUAUUUUGAAUGUUGUGCAAAGACGCCAGAUGGUCACUGUUCCACUUCUAUUCCAGUGGCCAUGAAGGGCAGGUGAAGGUAGUUUUUACUUGACUUAAAAUGUCCUUUGUAUGCAUCUUCUUUCUCAAUGUCCUCUUCAGCUCCUGGAGCGUUAAUCUGCCAGGAGCCAACGGAAGCGCUCUACUCAAGUGUAUGCAUUAGCUCUGUCUUUUGUCAAAAGUAGAAAAAAUACUUAAGAUAAAGUUGUUCCUGUGGGCGUCGCAGAGAUGCUUUAAGUCAAAAUUGAAAGCGCUCUAUCAUUCUUUCUAUUGUACGCCUCUAAUCCUCUACAUGGAAAUUGUAGUUUGUAAAAAUAGAAAAUAUGUAGAUUGUAAUAUGCUUUCUGGUUACGUUCUGGUGAGUUUUAACUUAAUUUUCGAUUUUUACAGCUCCCAAGGGAAGGAGCAAACCGCCUUGAGGAGUCCCUGCAUAAGAGACUAUUGGAUACAGAAGGCUGUACUAAAGGAAGAUCUCAUCACAGCAUCAUCCAAGCCCUAGUCAGGAGUAUAUGAGGCCUCUUUAGAGUAAAGAGCGGCUAACAAUAUCUGAUAAUAGGCCACAUGUGCAAUUAUUAUGUAUAUAAUUAAUGUACAACAUACUUUUUCACUUUUUUGUUACAUUAGAGAUUAACAAAUAUUGUUAGAGUUUUUGUUUAC